AGAGUUUGAUCCUGGCUCAGGAUGAACGCUAGCGGCAGGCCUAAUACAUGCAAGUCGAACGGAAGUAGCAAUACUUUAGUGGCGCACGGGUGCGUAACGCGUAUGCAACCUACCUUUCAGUGGGGGAUAGCCCGGGGAAACCCGGAUUAAUACCGCAUAAGAUAAUUUAGUGGCAUCAUUAGAUUAUGAAACAUUUAUGGCUGAAAGCUGGGCAUGCGUAAGAUUAGUUAGUUGGCGAGGUAGCAGCUCACCAAGACGAUGAUCUUUAGGGGUUCUGAGAGGAAGAUCCCCCACACUGGUACUGAGAUACGGACCAGACUCCUACGGGAGGCAGCAGUAGGGAAUAUUGGGCAAUGGAGGCAACUCUGACCCAGCCAUGCCGCGUGCAGGAAGAAGGCCUUCUGGGUUGUAAACUGCUUUUGGAAGGGAACAAAACGUGCCUGCGGGCAAACUUGAGUGUACCUUCAGAAUAAGCACCGGCUAACUUCGUGCCAGCAGCCGCGGUAAUACGGAGGGUGCAAGCGUUGUCCGGAUUUAUUGGGUUUAAAGGGUGCGUAGGCGGGAGAUUAAGUCAGAGGUGAAAGACUGCAGCUCAACUGUAGCAGUGCCUUUGAUACUGAUUUUCUUGAGUACAGAUGAGGCUGGCGGAAUGGGUGGUGUAGCGGUGAAAUGCAUAGAUACCAUCCAGAACACCGAUUGCGAAGGCAGCCGGCUAAGCUGUUACUGACGCUGAGGCACGAAAGCGUGGGGAUCGAACAGGAUUAGAUACCCCCGUAGUCC
rnacentral:rRNA from 1 species